UUUCUUCUCUCUCUCUCUGCCAGAGAUUCUAUCAUCCUCUUCCUCUCAAUUAAAUUUCAAUUUUUUUUUUCUUAAAAAGAACCCUCAAAUGCACAAACUUCCUCAACGUCAAACAAUUACUAUAUCUCUAUCACGCCUCCACAAUCCCUUAUUCUUGUAACCAAACGGACCCCCUUCUCUUCCCCCCUUCUGUUUCCUUUCUCUGUCUUUCACCACCAGAAACCUAAAUAAGCAUUCUUUUGAUCCUCUACAACCCUUCCUGUUUUCACCAUUUUUACAUUUCUCCCCAAUCUUUCUCUUUACAUUUUGCUAUUUGGUCCUUCUUGGCCUUCCUUUUUUGAUUCGCCGACACUUCCCAAUUUCCAGGAUUGGUGCAGUUUCUAUUUAGGGUUUUUGAUAAUCUCACGGCCCCAUUGUUUCCCAUUUUGCUGACCCUCUAGGGUUUCCUUAUUCCUUUUUCUUUUUUCCAGUUUCAUAUUUUUUAUUUCUAGGGCUUUUUAUAUUGAAGUUUUGUAGAUUUUCUUGAUCGAAUAGAAAAGAAAGGAAAAAACUUACAUCCUUUUAUCAUUUGACCUUGGAAGUUUAUUGGAAUAUCCCCUUCGUUUUGGCAGUAUUUACUGUUCUUGCCAUUUUAUUACUUCUAAAACGUUAACAUACUCUAGGGUUGUUACUUUAUUAGUUAAAAAACAAAAAACUAAAACUAAUUUCAAAGUUUCUUCCUUUUUUUUCCCCUUAUCGUGGAUUUACUAGGAAAACCGUACAUAUUGAAAAACAAUCCAUCUUUUUUCUUGGAUUAGUUUUUUUUUUAAUUUUUGAAAUUUAUUUUCUUUGUUUUCGGUUGCCUUGUGCCGGUUGGGAGGGUUGAGAAAGUUGUUAGGGAGGAAAAGUGGUUUAGGAUUGUAUGGAAGAGAAUGAAGGGUGGGCGGCGCAGCAGCCACCGAGCGAGCUAUUGCCGAACGGUUUGUUACCGAACGAAACCGCCUCGGUGAUUCAGAUACUUGAUUCGGAGCGAUGGAUGAAGGCUGAGGAAAGAACCGCUGACCUGAUUGCCCGCAUUCAACCCAAUGCACCCUCGGAAAAGCGCCGUAAAGACGUCGCUGAAUAUGUCCAGGGCCUCAUCUGCCAAUGCUUCCCUUGUCAGGUGUUUACUUUCGGGUCUGUGCCCCUCAAGACAUAUUUGCCUGAUGGGGAUAUUGACUUAACGGCCUUCAGUGAGAAUCAAAAUUUGAAGGAUACAUGGGCUCAUCAGGUUCGCGAUAUGCUGGAAAAUGAAGAGAAAAAUGAGAAUGCUAAAUUCCUAGUAAAAGAAGUUCAGUACAUUCAGGCUGAGGUUAAGAUAAUAAAGUGUCUUGUAGAAAAUAUUGUGGUAGACAUUUCAUUUAAUCAGCUUGGUGGAUUAUGUACUCUUUGUUUCCUUGAAGAGGUUGAUCUUUUGAUAAACCAGAAUCAUUUGUUCAAACGUAGCAUCAUAUUGAUAAAGGCAUGGUGUUAUUAUGAGAGCCGUAUAUUGGGUGCUCAUCAUGGACUUAUCUCAACUUAUGCCCUGGAAACCUUGGUUCUUUACAUAUUCCAUGUUUUCAAUAAGUCCUUUUCUGGACCACUUGAGGUCCUGUAUUAUUUUCUUGAAUUUUUUAGCAAGUUUGAUUGGGAAAAUUUUUGUGUUAGCCUUUGGGGUCCUGUUCCAAUUAGUUCGCUGCCAGACAUAACAGCGGAACCUCCUCGAAAAGAUGGUGGAGAGUUGUUACUUAGCAAAUAUUUUCUUGAUACUUGUAGUUCAAGAUAUGCUGUUUGCCAAGAAAAUCAGGGCCAACCCUUUGUAUCUAAACAUUUCAAUGUGAUCGAUCCUUUGCGUAUAAAUAACAACCUUGGACGUAGUGUUAGUAAAGGUAAUUUCUUUAGGAUUCGCAGUGCAUUUGCAUUUGGGGCUAAAAAGUUGGCAAGACUACUUGAUCCCAAAGAGGACCUAUAUGAUGAAGUAAAUCAAUUCUUUAUGAAUACAUGGGAAAGGCAUGGUAGCGGCGAACGCCCUGAUGCACCAAGGAAUGAUCUGUGGCGCUUGGGAUUGUCAAAUUCCGACCACACUCAUGGAUCUAAGAAUGUCAGGAACAAUUCAAGCAGCAAAGUAAAUGAUAUGUCCUCAGGGCAUGAAACUCAAGCCGAAGGAGCACAAGGAUUGUGUGGUGUUUCCUCACAGCAUGUUAAUUAUCCAUCAGAAUGCACAAGCAAGAUUAGUGAUGUAUCAACUGCUUCUCGUGCUCAAAGCCAAAAGAGUUAUGGUAGCAUGAGCAACUCAAAUACAUCUGACCAGGUUAGACGGGAUUCUAAUUCCAAUCAGAAUGUGCAUAAUGAUACAGGGCAGAGAAAUUCUAAAGCAGAGAAUAUUGUAACUGAUGUUCAAGGAAGAUAUCUUUUUGCAAGGACACGUUCUAGUCCUGAGCUUACUGAAACAUAUGGGGAAGUUGCUUCUCGAGGAAGGCGGAACCGAGUGCCAGAGAGUGGGAAAACCCACAUUGCUUCUAUGAGGUCAGAUAAUAACGGGAGGAAGAAUAUGGAAUCUGAUAUGACAGCAAGCAAUAACAUUAAGUCUUCAUGUGAUGAUCCUUCAUCUAUUAGGCACACUUCAACCCAUCAAAGCAUUGACGCUACUGCUGAUCCAAAUAGUCUAUUAAAUAGUUACCAAGAUGAUUUAGGCUUGGGAGCUAUGGGUCAGGACUUUUCCUCAAUUCCAGGUGCACAAGGAAUGCAUCAAGAAGAGCAAGAUCUAGUGAACAUGAUGGCAUCUUCUACAGCUCAUGGCUUUAAUGGUCAAGUUCCUAUUCCGCUAAAUUUAGCUGCAGGUCACUUACCUUUUCCUAUCCAGUCCUCAGGUCUUGCAACAAUGGGUAACAAUCAGAGAAAUUUGGGUGGAAUUGUUCCUACAAAUAUACAUAUGUUUCCCCAACGCUUGGUCUCUUCUCCUUUGGCCCAUUAUUUUUCUGGCAUUGGAUUAGCUUCAAAUCCAGAGGAUUCAAUUGAGCCUGGCAGUGAAAAUUUUGGUUCUUCAGAAAUGAAUCCAGGGGAAGCAGAACACGAGUUAUGGCAUGAACAAGACAGGGGCUCUAGUGGAGGUUUUGAUCUUGAUAAUGGAAGUUUUGAAAUGCUUCAGUCAGAUGAUAAGCAGCUGUCAACUUCAGGUGGCUAUAAUUUUGAUCCUUCAUCUAGGGUAGGCAGCUCUGGUAGUUCUACUAAAGUCCAACAGAAGUUUACUAAAGAAACUCGAGGGUCAAAUAGGGAAGAUCAUGUAGAUGUUUGCCAAUAUCAAGAUAACAGAGGUAAUGAUGUUUACUUUGAUGAAAGAACGGCAAGUUCUAGAUCCAUGCCUGCUUCACAUAGUAGUUCACUCAGAAGUAAAACGUCAUCAGAAAAUUCUUGGGAAGGGUCAUCAGCAAAGGUCUCUAAGCCAGCUAGGGAGAAACGGGGUAGGAAAACUGCUGCUUCUGCGCUUCCCUCUGCUGCAUGUGGGAAAGGUAAAAGUGUAUCUGAACAUUCCUCUCAGGCAGGCGAUGAUGGCAGAGACUGGAAUCUACCCCCAACAGUGGGCACUGAAAUGGCAGAAAGAACUAGUGGACCUCAACCAGUUGGUUCUUUGCCUGUUCCAAGGCAUCAAAUGCCUGGAUUUGAGGCAGCUCAGACUAGUGGCUCAGAUUCACUGAUACCCAUGGCUCCAAUUCUUUUAGGUCCAGGUUCAGGGCAAAGAGCUAUGGAUAAUUCCGGAGUUCCUCCCUUGGCCUUUACAAUAACAGGUCCACCAAUUCCAUUUUUCUUGUGCCCUGUGUACAACAUUCCAGCAGAAACAGGAACUCCAGAUGCAUCAACAAGCCAUUUUAGUUGGGAUGAAGGUUUGGAUAACAAUGAUUCUGGUCAAAAUUUUGAUUCAUCUGAGGGACUUGAUCAGUCUGACGUGUUAAGUACUUCUAGUUCUACAAGAAAGGUUGCAUCUCUUAAGCCAUCUGAGCCCAAACGUGACAUUCUUAAUGGUGACAUUGCUAGCCAUUGGAAAAACUUGCAGUAUGGACGGAUUUGCCAAAAUUCACGAUAUCAUCCACCUCUGAUUUAUCCUUCAUCUGUUAUGGUGCCACCUGUCUGUUUACAAGGUCAUUUCCCAUGGGAUGGUCCUGGGAGACCUCUCUCAACUGAUGUAAAUCUCUUUUCUCAACUUAUGAAUUAUGGGCCCCGUGUUGUUCCUGUUACUCCAUUCCAAUCUGUUUCAAAUAGGCCUGCUAGUGUAUACCAACGGUAUGCUGAUGAAAUGCCAAGAUAUCGUGGUGGUACUGGGACAUACCUGCCAAACCCUAAAGUUCCAAUGAGAGAACGCCAUUCCACAAAUACAAGGAGGGGAAAAUAUAAUUACGAUAGAAAUGACCAUCAUGGUGAUAGAGAAGGAAGCUGGACUGCUAAUUCAAAGUCACGAGCUGCUGGGCGCAGCCAUAGUCGCAAUCAAAAUGAAAAAUCAAGGUUCACGAUUGACCAUUUGGCAGCUGUUGCUGGUGAGAGCAGAGCUGAGAGGCCUUGGAGCUCACAUAGACAUGAUUCAUUUACUUCAUACCAGUCUCACAAUGGACCAGUCCGCUCUAACUCUUCACAAAGUAGUUCUGCCAGCAUGCCAUAUGGCAUGUAUCCACUGCCAGCCAUGAACCCCAGUGGGGUAUCAUCUAAUGGACCUACCAUUCCGUCUGUGGUCAUGCUGUAUCCUUACGAUCAUAAUUCUGGUUAUAGUUCCCCUGCCGAACAGCUCGAGUUUGGCUCCCUUGGACCAGUGGGUUUUCCAGGCAUGAAUGAAGUAUCACAGUUAAGUGAUGGAAGCAGCUCAGGUGGGGUAUUUGACGAGCAAAGGUUUCAUGGUUCCUCUGCUCAACAGUCUUCACCAGACCAGCCUUCUUCACCCCACCUUCAAAGGUAAUGUCUUCUUGUUCUUCUGAGGUAGUUUCUUUACAAGACUUACUGAAAGCAGUCAGCCUGAAAAGUAUCCUGCAUCCAUACUAUUGUCCAACUGCCAUUGCUGGUCUAGCAAUACCGUUGAUGGUGUAGUAAUUUCUAUGGCCCAACUUGAAUGAGCUGUGUGGAAAUUGCUGCCUGUUCCCCCACCUUCUCCUACCCUGACAUAAUCUUCUGCUGCCACCCUCUUCCUGGCUGGCGCUCUCCUCAUAAUUCUGGGGACUUUGAUUUUAUUGCCAGAUCAGUGGCCCAUGAGAAUUAUCAAUUGAAAGAUGAGGAUUUCCCACAUCUUGCUUUUCCAUUUGAGGGAAGAAUUGAUGGUGGGAGAACCUACAAUGAGAAAAGCUCCCAUUAACCAGGCUUUUUUGUUCUCAACUCACUAAUGAAAGGAAGAAUUGAAUUUUCUGAUUUAGUGAUUCUUAAUGGUUUUCUCACAAGAUGGUCAGAAGUGCUUCUUGGCUUGUACUUGUAUGUACACUAUGAAUGAUGAAAAUCAUUUUCAAAAUUGCUCUGUUUUCAAAGAUAUAACAGAGUAAUGGUGAAAGGAAUGCAGGACUCGGAGGCAAGAGAAUUUAAACUUAGGGUUCUGCACAUUGUAACUGAAAUAGGAACUCCUUAGGAUUAGAACUGAGUUCUAUCAUUUUAUAAAUUGCAAUGAUCAGGAUUUUCUUUCCCACAUUGUAAUAGGGCUUUUCAUUUUUGAUUUAUAAUUUCAGUGUAUAAGCUCGCUUUUGUUAACUUUCUUUGUGAAAGUUACAGUGUAUCGAUAACAUUGCCAUGGUAAAAAAUGAGUUGCUUAGAAUUACCAUUUUUCAAAGCAAGAAACCAGAUGUCAGA